rnacentral:rRNA from 1 species
AUGGAGGUGAAAAUCCAUGAUGAAGAACAUAAUUGUCACAGCACAAGAAAAAGUGAUAACCUGAAGGCUGCUUCAAAGUCUUGGAUAUGUUCCAAGGUAAUUGAUUUGGUAAAAGAAGAUCCUAGUGUGACAUCAAUGGAGCUACGAAGGAGGUUGCAUCACAAGUACAAGAUUUGGAUCCGUUAUGACAAACUUUACACCAAAGCGACGCAAGGGCAAGUCGAAGGCAAAGGUGAUCCCAGCUGCAGCGGACAGCCCCGCAAGGAAGAAAAGGCAAGCAAACAGCCCGGCUAUGGCCACUCGUAG